UUUUUUUUUUUUUUUUUUUUUUUUUUUUGUGUUUUUCCUUCUUGCGA
rnacentral:ribozyme from 1 species